GCGGCGGGGCGCAGGGCGGGCCCCGGCAAGGGUUGUUAGUGUGAGACAGCAGUCUAAGAUGAAAGAAAGCAUGAUGCACGUCUUUCCUCACUGCAGUAACUAGAACUAUGCAGCAUUAAUCCAGCAACAAAUUAAUGAGGACAAACAAAACUUGAGAGAAAAGGCUGUAUAUGGAAUUCAGCUCAC